GACGAACGCUGGCGGCAUGCCUAAUACAUGCAAGUCGAGCGGGGUGUUUUUGAAAGCUUGCUUUCAAAAACACUUAGCGGCGGACGGGGGAGUAACCCGUAGGCAACCUGCCUUAUACUCUGGGAUAACUUCCGGAAACGGAUGCUAAUACCGGAUCAAUCAUCUUUUGGCAUCGUAGGAUGAGGAAAGACGGCUCAAGCUGUCCCUAUAAGAUGGGCCUGGGGCGCAUUAGCUAGUUGGUGGGGUAAUGGCUCACCAAGGCGACGAUGCGUAGCCGACCUGAGAGGGUGAACGGCCACACUGGGACCGAGACACGGCCCAGACUCCUACGGGAGGCAGCAGUAGGGAAUCUUCCACAAUGGGCGAAAGCCUGAUGGAGCAAUGCCGCGUGAGUGAUGAAGGUUUUCGGAUCGUAAAGCUCUGUUAAUCGGGACGAAAGAGUUCUGCGUGAAUAAUGCAGAAAAGUGACGGUACCGGAAUAGAAAGCCACGGCUAACUACGUGCCAGCCGCCGCAGUAACAC
rnacentral:rRNA from 1 species